GUUAUUGUUUGGAAGUGCAUUAUUCUACUACUGUAGGUUGACGGUAUCUUGAGGGAAAGCUAUAUCAAGACUACUGAUUUGAAUGAUGACUGCCUUUCAGCGUAUAAUCCUUGUUGUUGCUGUAGUAUUCAUGAUUGCUAUUGUUCUUGUGGAGUGCAAAUACGAAUGUUUCAGUGAUCCAUAUUGCAAGAAUUUUACAAUGAUAGCAUCUAGUGCUAGUGCUUGCUGUGCUAAAGGGAAAUCCUACUUGAAGGUUACUGAAGGUGGUCCAUUUUCGGUCUGUAAAAGUUGCUAGAUGCAAAGCCGGAAUUGAACGGUACCACUCAUCAGAGGGAAUAUAUAGACUAGCUAUAUAUAUAACCUGAUAAUUUUGCUGCUUUACAAUAAUUUUGCUGCUUUACAAUAAUUUUGCUGCUUUACAAUAAUUUUUCUAAUGCUCAA